rnacentral:sRNA from 1 species
AUCAAGGCAAAAACAAGCGGCAUAUUUUGCGGCUUAGCACUAGUUUCUUUAGUCUCCAAGAAAAACUUGAAGCAAGUAAAGGGUAUAGAGAUCAACACAACACAGAGAAUUGCUUAUAACUAUAU